UACGUAGGGCGCAAGCGUUGUCCGGAAUUAUUGGGCGUAAAGAGCUCGUAGGCGGCUUGUCACGUCGGGUGUGAAAGCCCGGGGCUUAACCCCGGGUCUGCAUUCGAUACGGGCUGGCUAGAGUGUGGUAGGGGAGAUCGGAAUUCCUGGUGUAGCGGUGAAAUGCGCAGAUAUCGGGAAGAACACCCGUGGCGAAGGCGGUUCUCUGGGACGGUACUGACGCUGAGACGCGAAAGCGUGGGGAGCGAACAGG
rnacentral:rRNA from 1 species